UAUCAAAACCUCUUGAUAGUUGUAGUAAAUUGCUCACAUCAGUAGCGGAAACAGAGGUUUCAUGGGGUUGUAAGGCGAUUCCAUUCUCGACCGCAAUUUCGUUGAGCAGAUUCCUUCUGCUCUGCAAGUCCGGUUGUCUGGUUGAGAGUUUUUG